GCCUUCGUGGUGUAACAGUCAGCACACUCGACACGUAUUCGAGAGGUCCAGGGUUCGAUUCCCGGCGAAGGCA
rnacentral:tRNA from 1 species